rnacentral:ncRNA from 10 species
UGAGGUAGUAGUUUGUACAGU